rnacentral:rRNA from 1 species
GAUGAACGCUGGCGGCGUGCUUAACACAUGCAAGUCGAACGAGAUUUCUGUGGACAUUCUUUUGGGAAUGGAACUGCAAUGAAAGUGGCGAACGGGUGAGUAACACGUUAGCAACCUACCUUACACAGGGGAAUAGCCGUCUGAAACGACGAUUUAUAUUGCAUCAGACCACAGAAUAGCAUGAUAUAGGGGUCAAGGAUUUAUUGGUGUAAGACGGGCUCGCGUAUCAUUUGCAAGUUGGAAGGGUAAAGCCAUACCAAGGCGAAGAUCAGUAGCCGGUAUGAGAGGAAGGGCCGAGACACUGAAGCUGAGACGCAGUACAAACUCUUACGGGAGGGAGAAAUGGGUGAUAGUGCACAGGGGGGGGAACGAUGAUGCAGCGAGGACGCGUGAGCGAAGUAAGUUUUCGAAUCGUAAAGCUCUGUCAAAUGAGAAGAUAAUGACGGUACCAAAGGAGAAAGCCCCGGCUAAAUACGUG